rnacentral:rRNA from 1 species
CAGUGGAGCGACGAACCAGGGCUUGCCCUGGGGCAGAGCCGCGAACGGGUGAGUAACACGUGGGUAACGUGCCCCGAUGACUGGGACAACCCGGGGAAACCCGGGCUAAUACCGGAUAUGCCCCCUGACAUCUGUCAGGUGUGUAAAGGAAGCUUCGGCCUCCGCAUCGGGAUCGGCCCGCGGCGCAUUAGCUUGUUGGUGGGGUAAUGGCCUACCAAGGCAGCGAUGCGUAGCUGGUCUGAGAGGACGAUCAGCCACACUGGGACUGAGACACGGCCCAGACUCCUACGGGAGGCAGCAGUGGGGAAUCUUGCACAAUGCGCGAAAGCGUGAUGCAGCAACGCCGCGUGCGGGAAGACGGCCUUCGGGUUGUAAACCGCUUUCAGUUGGGACGAAGGUCGGCGCGUUAAUAGCGCGUCCGGCUGACGGUACCUUCACAAGAAGCCCCGGCUAACUACGUGCCAGCAGCCGCG